CAGUAUAAAACAAGGUCGAAUCCCCAGUAUUUAUAGCCGCGUCGAGAAAUUUCCUGGGAGAAACGGAGUCCUCGCUCGUUAUGCUUCGGAGAAAACGAAGUGCAGGCAAUAGCUAGAGAGAAAAGAUAUUUUGGUUCAAUGUAAGUGGGGUGUGCUAAUCAUGGACUUGAAUGAUGUGAUUUCUUGCACUUCACUUGGUGGAAUUAUUAUUAGAAUGUUAGGGUUUGUAAUCCAAGUGAUUAUAUACAUUUUAAGACCUG